rnacentral:rRNA from 1 species
GAUGAACGCUGGCGGCGUGCCUAACACAUGCAAGUCGAGCGGACGGACGAGAAGCUUGUUGCUCUGUUGUUAGCGGCGGACGGGAGAGUAACGCGUGUAUCACCCACUUAUAUUACUGGGAUAACUACGGAAAUCCGGAUCUUAUACGGUAUGAUCUUUUGAACCGCAUGGGGCAAAGGUGAGAUUCGGUGUUGCGGGCACUUAUAGAUGGUUCCGCGCUGCAUUGGCUAGUUGGUAAGGUAACGGCUUACCAAGGGAACGAUGCAUAGCCGACGUGAGAGGGUGAUCGGCGACAUUGGAAGUGAGACGCGGUCCAGACUCCUAAGGGAGGCAGCAGUAGGGAAUCUGCGGCAAUGGGCGAAAGCCUGACGGAGCAGCGCGGCGUGAGUGAUGAAGGUCUUCGGAUCGUAAAACUCUGUUAUUAGGGAAGAACAUAUGUGUAAGUAACUGUGCACAUCUUGACGGUACCUAAUCAGAAAGCACCGGCUAACUACGUG